UCCUGGUGGUUUAGACGGUAAAGCGUCUACCUGCGAUGCAGGAGACCCAGGUUCAAUCCCUGGGUCAGGAA
rnacentral:tRNA from 1 species